UGGAAGAGAACCAAGCCCCCAAAAAGAAAAGAAAGGCACCCUCCAGCGCACCUGUAAGCGCGAAUGAAGGACGUGUUUUGAGGUCUAGGGUAUCAAAAGAUCAAGAUCAUGUUGAUCCUGAGCAUCAGCCUUCCAAAGAGAUUACUCAUGAGCUUGAUGGUGAUGGUAGUCAAAAGAAAGGUGGAAGAAAAUUACUCGAAAGGCUAACAUAUAUGCAAGGCUGAAUCAACCCAAAAUCCAUAUUCCACUUAAUGGGGAUGGACAGCCUGUUGGGCCAGAUGCAACCGAAUUUGCUAAUUUCAUUGGUACUUUGGUGAGGAAGCAUAUACCACCUGCAGAGUUAGAUUGGCGAGAUGUUGAUGUAGAGAAAAAGUUGUUAGUGUGGGAGACCUUGAAGGCAUUUUAUGAGCUGGACUCAACUGCUUUGAGCUUUGUUAUCAACACUUCACACAUAAAAUGGAAGGAUUGGAAGUCAGAUUUAAAGAGGUACAAGUUUGAUGCUGCACUCACUGAUGCACAACUUAUGAAAAGACGUGACAGCAGAAUUAGUGAAGCUGACUGGAAGACCCUUAUUACUUAUUGGA